rnacentral:rRNA from 1 species
GGGUGCGAUCAUACAAGCACUAUUGUACUGGAUUCCAUCGAAACUCCAAAGUUAAACUCGCUUUGGAAAGAAUAGUACGAAGAUGGGCUUGUCACGUGAUUUUCACGGACACAUGCU